rnacentral:lncRNA from 1 species
GAACUGUGAUUCAAAUCGGACUCUACAUAUGCUAAAGAUAGUGUUCUUUCCUUUAUACUUCAUCCUCCCUAUGAAAUUCUUUUGUAUUUUCAACAGAUUUCUAUUGUGAUCCCAUCAGGAUCACAAAACGUUGAACUUCUUAAUGUAAAACCAACACAUUUAUGGCUGGUACAUUUCAGAAGAAAGGUGGAAUUUCAUGCACUCCAUAUUUUCCCCUACAAUUUUUGGAUAAAACAUGGAAUUCAUAUGUCACAUCUACAUCACUCUUUUCAUUUAAUGUCGGUGAAGGGAGCGACUUCCAUUGUGUUAAAGAAGAGCAAAGUGUAUCAAGAUCUUCAAGACUUACGGGAGAGACAUUGCCAGUUCCAGAGAGAUAGUGCCAAUUCCUUCACAUACCUUAAAUCCGAAGGGAAGGUAUGUUGCAAAGUGACGUACGCUAAGACACGGGAAGCUUUGGUGCUAUGACAGCCACUGAUCUGCACUUGGGAUUGAUGGGUGAUCGGCAAGGAUUUCUGGCCCAGGUGAUAUCUAUAACAAAAUCUUCAGGUAAAGAGAGGUGGAGAGAAUGUCCCUGCUGAGAAUCUUAGUGGUGCAUAUCAUGGGGCCUAGAAGUAAUCCAGCAUUCAUGUUCCACUUGCAGACUAUGCAAAGAAGUGGAGCUGCUUCCUUCCCUAGUCAGCCGUGAAGACCGUUAGAAAAGCCACCGUUCUCCUCUGACAAGGUGAUGAAACACUUUGUGGAGUGCUUGGCCUCCUUUACUGGACAGGAGGACACACGGCUGCCAAAACAGGUACAGCAGCAGGGCUGUGUGUUGAGUUUGGGAAGAUGCCCGCUCUGGGUAGCCAUUUCAGUCAACGUGGAGCAGGUGGCCAUUUAUGCAAAGCAUAUGGGCAGCUAACAAAGGAGACCGUCAAAAUCAGUUGAUUAAAAUGUAAAAAAUAUUUAAGAGAUUGUUGGCAGAGGUGGUUGAGAGGAGGGUAUAAGGGCAAGAGGACCUGCUGGAUGGGCCUCUGUCCUUGGCCUCUGUGGGUAAGGGUGAGUGUCUUUCUGAGGAUCAUCUGAAAUUUUUGACCUCAAGUCCUUCUGUAUAUCUUUUAUUCUUUGCUGUGUAUAAAUAGAUGGAUUAAGUGGCAAAUAGUUCUCAUAGGAAAGUUUGGAUUCCGCCUUUCCCCACAACCCUUCUGUCAUCCUCAUAAAACUUCUAGAUAAAGGUUCUAUUCAGGGAUUUCUUUUUGUUUUAAUGUGAAUUGAACACAUUUCUAUCCGAUGGUUAAAAUUAAGAUUAUAGUUCCUCAAUGGAGCAUAAAUUGCACUCUGCCUUUGUGUGCACAGUGGGAUCAAGGCCAACAGCUUUUCUCUUCUAGCCUGCAGAGGGAUUUUGUAUCACUAUCGCUUAUUAUUAGUACUAGGAUUCUUACUACAAGUUCUGAAACUAUUAACCAACAUUUUAAAAUCGUUUUUUCUUUUUUAGAAUACUAUUAGGUUUAUUUAAAAUUGCAAAGAUGAUUCAGAGUUUCUAUAUGCCCCGUGCCAUACCCCCUUCCAUUAUUAACCCCUUGCCCUAAUAUGGCACAUUUGUUGCAACUAAUGAG